rnacentral:hammerhead_ribozyme from 1 species
GUACUUCCGAAGAGUUCCAAACUAGGACGAAACAGCUGUCCAGUAC